UACGAAGGGGGCUAGCGUUGCUCGGAAUGACUGGGCGUAAAGGGCGCGUAGGCGGUUCGUACAGUCAGACGUGAAAUUCCCGGGCCAACCUCGGGGUGCUGCGUUUGAUACGUGCGGGCUUGAGUUCGGAAGAGGGUCGUGGAAUUCCCAGUGUAGAGGUGAAAUUCGUAGAUAUUGGGAAGAACACCGGUGGCGAAGGCGGCGACCUGGUCCGGAUACUGACGUGGAGGCGCGAAAGCGUGGGGAGCAAACAGG
rnacentral:rRNA from 1 species